rnacentral:rRNA from 1 species
UACGUAGGGGGCAAGCGUUGUCCGGAAUCAUUGGGCGUAAAGAGCGUGUAGGCGGCCCGGUAAGUCCGCUGUGAAAGUCCAGGGCUCAACCCUGGGAUGCCGGUGGAUACUGUCGGGCUCGAGUCCGGAAGAGGAGUGUGGAAUUCCUGGUGUAGCGGUGAAAUGCGCAGAUAUCAGAAGGAACACCAAUGGCGAAGGCAGCACUCUGGGACGUGACUGACGCUGAGACGCGAAAGCGUGGGGAGCAAACAGG